rnacentral:rRNA from 1 species
GUUGCACAGACAACUAGGAUGUUAGCUUAGAAGCAGCUAUUCAUUCAAAGAGUGCGUAAUAGCUCACUAGUCGAGUGACCCUGCGCCGAAAAUGUACCGGGGCUAAAACAUAUUACCGAAGCUGUGGAUACCUUUAUAGGUAUGGUAGGAGAGCGUUCUAUGUGCGAAGAAGGUGUACCGUGAGGAGUGCUGGAGCGCAUAGAAGUGAGAAUGCCGGUAUGAGUAGCGAAAGACAGGUGAGAAUCCUGUCCACCGUAAGACUAAGGUUUCCAGGGGAAGGCUCGUCCGCCCUGGGUUAGUCGGGACCUAAGGAGAGACCGAAAGGUGUAUCCGAUGGACAACAGGUUGAUAUUCCUGUACUAGAGUAUGUAGUGAUGGAGGGACGCAGUAGGCUAACUAAAGCAG